UACGGGGGGAGCAAGCGUUGUUCGGAUUUACUGGGCGUAAAGGGCGCGUAGGCGGCCACCGCAAGUCGACUGUGAAAUCUCCGGGCUUAACCCAGAAAGGUCAGCCGAUACUGCGGGGCUAGAGUGCAGAAGGGGCAACUGGAAUUCUCGGUGUAGCGGUGAAAUGCGUAGAUAUCGAGAGGAACACCUGCGGCGAAGGCGGGUUGCUGGGCUGACACUGACGCUGAGGCGCGACAGCGUGGGGAGCGAACCGG
rnacentral:rRNA from 1 species